rnacentral:rRNA from 1 species
UCUUGGCAAAUUAUCCUCAUAAGUUCGACAAGAAGAGGAACCAUGAAUUUUAGUUAAUUAAUAACUCCUAUUAAUUUAUUUAUAUGGUGGCACAAAAUCGGAAGCCCCGACUGUUUACUAAAAACACAACUAUCUGCAAUUAUGAAAAUAAUAGUAUAGGUAGUGAGAUUUGCCCAAUGCCAAAUUAAUAAGUAAUAAUAAUAGGUAACUGUUUCUUUACAAAAAAUUGGUUAAUAGCGGUCUUAACUAUGAGGAUCCUAAGGUAGCAAAAUAAAUUGGCCAUUAAAUGUG